rnacentral:tRNA from 1 species
GCGGGUGUAGCUCAAUGGUAGAGCACUGGCUUCCCAAGCCAGGUGCGUGGGUUCGAUUCCCAUCACCCGCUCCA